rnacentral:rRNA from 1 species
CUAUACAUGACUCUGCGCAUAUCAAUAAGCGGAGGAAAAGAAACUAACAAGGAUUCCCUUAGUAACGGCGAGUGAAGCGGGAGGAGCUCAAAUUUGAAAUCUUAAAGGGUUUCCCUUUACGAAUUGUAGUUUAAAGAAGUGUUUUCUGUUGAGGUUUUGGUAAAAGUUCUUUGGAAUAGGACAUCAUAGAGGGUGAGAAUCCCGUAUUUGACCUUUACUUUCAACUUUGUGAUACACUUUCAAAGAGUCGGAUUGUUUGGGAAUGCAGUCCAAAAUGGGUGGUAAAUUUCAUCUAAAGCUAAAUAUUGGCGAGAGACCGAUAGCGAACAAGUACCGUGAGGGAAAGAUGAAAAGAACUUUGAAAAGAGGGUUAAACAGUACGUGAAAUUGUCAAAAGGGAAGCGUUUGACACCAGUGUUGUUUUUCUGAAAAUCAAUUAAAGAACUGUUUAUGCUGAAGUUGUUUAGACUUUAUCAGCUAACUGUUUAGUUUUGAGCUUUUCUUUAAUGCACUUUUCAGUUAACAAGUCAACAUCAAUUUCUUUUGCUGUAAAAAAGCUUGAGGAAGGUGGCUUGAGAUUCGUCUUAAGUGUUUAUAGCCUCUUGCCUAUGCAGUCGGAGAGAUUGAGGUCUGCAGCGUAGAUCCCUUCGGGGCUAAAUGCAUUUGUGCUAAGUUAUAGCAUUUUAUAGACAACUUGUUGACUAUGAUUUGUCUUGUAGCUUACUCGCUUAUGUUAUUUUACCUACGCUUAGGAUGUUGACAGCAGUAUAGACUGU